rnacentral:lncRNA from 1 species
CGCAGUGCGUUUAGGAAGUUGUACGCAUACCCAACUGAAGCUUUCUUCCCUUCUCCAGUGGAGUGCACCUGCACAGAAACUCUCUCUGUACCACGUACCUGCUGCCAGAAGCUGGGAAGGAGUGGUGCUGGUGAUUCAAAACUGAUUUUCCUGCCUCUUCGAUGCCUCUUUUAGUGACAUACAGUUAAGACCAGGCACUGGUAUAACCAGGAGUUGCGAAGUGGUCGUAGUUGUUCAUGUCUCAAUCUGGAUCAUCUUUGCUUUUUGCUUCUGCUUUGUGCUAUCCCUCUUCCCGUACCUCAGUUCUAUCUGGAACCAUGAUCUGUGACUGCCAUGGAAAAGUGUUGGGCAGGAGGAGGCCAGCUGGGUCUUUGAAGUUGACAAUGGAGCCAGGAAUGAAAGCUGCACUUAGGAUGAGAAUUGCUUUCCCUGGAGCCAAGUCAGCAAAUGCAGUCUGGUUGUCAGAGCUGAGAGGCUUCACCAAGUCAAGUAGGGGAGGACAUCUUCACUCUGCAACUUGCCCUACUGAAUGCAGAAAGUACUGUCUACUUAGAUAAAGCCUACACUAAAAGGGAAUUGAAUCUCUGCAAAUAAGUAUGUGGAUCUAAUUUCUACCUUCCAGAUUAAAAGUAUAAUUAAAAAUGAAAACCUUUGUAGGACUAAAUUGAUUUUGCAGACAAAUCUCACUUCUUAGCUUGAGCUGACUUAUUCCCAAUCUUAAACCCUAAUUAAUAACAUACAAGAAUGAGU